rnacentral:rRNA from 1 species
UCAGUCAGAAGAGGUGGUGGUGUCGGACAGUGCUAUGGACCCCUUCCGAGGCCAGUCUGUCUGCACGGUCACCGCUUCGCCUGACGCAUUUCCUCCUGCACGAAGGACGCCGCAGCCGGUUGGGUAGCUGCGAGAGUCGGUCAUGAGGGCGGACGCCGGCAGUUGACCGGUGGCGUGGCUUCGGCCGUGCCGCCGGUUGUUAGCCUGUCCGCCCGUGACGCGACACCCGACCGAGGUUUAAAUUCCUUUAUGGGAAUCGGCCGCCCUCCUCAGAAAUGGAAGCGAGCAUGCUGACAGGCGUUGCGUUGCCGCUGACUCGUCACUCUCCGUAGUGGCCGUCACGUCAAAGUCGCCGUUGGUACGUAUACGUCUCGCCGAGGCAAGUAGGUGGCUAGCGGCGAGUAGGUCGGUCACCCACCCGACCCGUCUUGAAACACGGACCAAGGAGUCUAACAUGUGCGCGAGUCAUUGGGUCUUGAUUAGGCCCAAAGGCGCAAUGAAAGUGAAGGUCGGCGCAUGCCGACCGUGUUGGGAUUCUCCGCCUCGGCGGAGACGCACCAUCGACCCGUUCUAUCCGAUUUAUCGGUUGGGCGGAGUCUGAGCGUACACGUUGGGACCCGAAAGAUGGUGAACUAUGCCUGGGCAGGACGAAGCCAGAGGAAACUCUGGUGGAGGUCCGUAGCGGUUCUGACGUGCAAAUCGAUCGUCAGACCUGGGUAUAGG